rnacentral:lncRNA from 1 species
AAGAAUAGAGCCGCCACUGAGGAACCCUAGCGACGGCGGCGCGCUACCGGUGACAUCGUCCAACUCGGCCCCUCCAUCCCCGACGCGGCGGCGCCAGCAUGCAAGUACGAUUCCCUUCUCAGUCUCCACGGCUCCACCAGGGCACCAGUCCAUCUCUUAUCCCCCGUCCCCAGUCCCGUUCAUCUCUACAGGUGUUAGGAUACUUGGAUUGGAGUCGAGUGCUAGGCUGCUAGUGCUAGUGUUCAAAGCCUGAAGCCAUGUCCAUGGGCGUGUGGUUGUUGCCUGUUUGUCCACCGGCAGUUCAAAGCCUGAAGCCAUGUCCUGGCGGCCGCGAAGAACCUGCGCAGUGCGCACGGAGGCCGCCUCGGGAGCGCAGAGCGAUUAAUCGGGCUGAUCGUCGACUAAUCGUAAUUAGUCGGCUGAUCACCCUUCUGGCGAUCAGAGGCUAAUCGCCGAUCUGAAAACUUUGCUCUGGUACGCUCCUCUGCAUGUGUACUCUUUCGCUACACAGUCUAUAUGGGAUUGGGUAUUCCUAUUCUGUUCUGGAUCUGAGCCUUUCUUUUGGGUAUUCCUAUUUUGUAGCUGGUGCUGCAACGGAUUCGGAACCUGCUGCUGCGAUGGAUCCGGGACCUGGUUGCUGUAACGCAUUCAGCUCCUGCUGCUCUUAAUGGUAAGUAUCUGCACAACUUAUCCAGAGUUCAUACAGCAUAUUAAUAAGAACAGAAGCCACAACUUAGUAAAUAGCUCAUCCAGUUUUCCUGACCGAAGCAUUUCUUGUGGAAAUAUCUGAUAUUUAGAAGAAAGCAAAAUGGUUGGCCAGGAAGACAUAAACAUAAUUAACAAGUCCGAUGAAGUUGGCAGCUCAGAAUCUUUCCUCUUCCUGCAAUAGGCAAAUAGUGUGACAAAAAUGAUCUAGACAAAUGAUGUUCAAAUCAAGCUUGCUUCUACAAAUAAGAGAAAGUACUUGUGCUAUAUUUACUCAGGAAAGAAUUGCCAAAAGCAGGCACCGGUAAUAAUCUCCAAAUUCCAAAUGCAUAUGAAAAAAAGUAUUGACAAUCCAUUGUUCAUGGGCCUACUGCUUACCUUCACUACUCUAUCGUUCAUAAGCCUAUUGCUUAUCUUUCACUAAGUAGCCUGAAGGAUACAUUACUGUUCUGGUUGGAUAAAUAGGCUGCUCUCCCAGUAGUGAAAUGCUAAUGCUAACAAGAUUAAAGUGAAGAACUUGCAUACAUGCCGCAAAUACGUGUGCAACCAGCAAAAAUUUAGUUAGGUGAUAGAUAAAAUCCAGCAGCAAUAUUACCUAACAGAGGUACUUGGAAGACUGAGAGGGGAGGAAGGGCAUGGGAUAGCUGGACCUUACAUUGGUCAAGUAAGCGCCCUCGGUUCCAAUGACAUCCUCCCUCCCAUUGGUAUACUGAGAAAAUGACUCCACUCUCCUGGUGCUCAUGUCAAUGGUGACCAGCCACAUCUUCUUUCUCACGUAACCGAACUCGCUGAUGACAAAGUGCACUACAUGUGGCCUGUCCAUGUCGACUUGGGGGAACAUGAGAAUGUCAUCCAUUUUGGAUUGUUUGGUAGGGAUAUUGGCUACGAGACCUACUAUGAAAGUCUGGAUACCAGGAAAACGAGCGAAAUUGCUGACUCGCUCCUAGGAAGCUUGCGGUAGGCGCCCGGGGUUGGCAGACCAAAGCUCAUUGGAGGUGACCGUGUAGUCCUCUUCCCACACACCCCCGACCAUGUUCGGCUCCGUGAUGUUGCAUAACAUGAGGUAGUGGCACCUGAUAGUGAAGCCAACACCAGCCUUGAGUGCCCCAUAGCCAACCUUGUCGUUGUGGGCGACAUUGGUGAACAGGAGUGCACCCCCGUCACGGGUGGUCGACACGGUGCGGUACAACCAGCAUCAGUCCUUGCUGCGAGUGUUGUUGUCAGGAAACUUGUCCAGAGGGAAUUGGCUGAAGACAACAGUAAGACAAUCCACAAAACUUCCGAAAUCAAAUGUAGGAUUUGAGUUUCUCUAGAGGAUUUGAGUUUCCAAACUAGCAUCAAACGAGAAUAUCAUCAAAUGAAACAAGUGCGAACUUUGAAACGCGGUUUCAUAUUCUUCACCGGCCGUCAGUCUGAUCUGACGGAAACCUGCUGCGCGCAAAUCAAAUCAAGACAGGAAAACCAGCAAGAGUGUGCCAGCUCAUACAACAACUCGUCAGCGAUAGGAAGAAGUGCAAUUAACUGUUCAGCUAGAGUAGUUCUGAAGAAACUAUAUAUGACUGCUCUCUAUGUAAUGCCUCACGCAGGGACACGCACGACACGGAGCACUGGAGCAGCGCCACGGCACGCCGACAAAAAAGCGUGUCGCCUUCGCCUCGUUUGCAUGCUGCUGCUGCCCAACUCAACCGCGUGUAAUGCUGCCACUUGUUAACUAGCAGAGGGAGUGAAAGUGGGAUGCAACAAGCUGGAGUAGUAGCUAGCAAUCCAGGCUUGCAACCACUGUAGCUAGCACCUGUUGUGACUGCAUGAUGAGGUCUUCAGGGAGAGAACACAAACAAAUAAGCGCAGACAAGUGGGCGACCAAUCUGGUGAAGCUGCUGGAGCCUGCUGCUGUGACUGCAUGGUGAGGUAGACAUGGUGAGGUAGACGGAACUGCAAAAACCUAUUGUUGUGACCAUACGGACGGGCGAGAGACCAAGACGCGUCGAGUGGUGACGCGGUUCUGAGCCCGUGGUUCAGGGCAGCUGGAGGAGAGCCAGCGCUCCGCUGCAGGAGACGGCGCGUGCAGGCGGAGGAUGGUCGACAUGGGCACAACGACGGCGUUUGUGGGGGAGGGGGAUGGGAUUCGUGGCGGCGGCAACGACGAGGGGGAAGAGGAUGGCACUGGCCACUGGGGCUCUAGCAGUUGCUGUUACUCUUCAUUGUCGACGCCGACGACAAAAAGAAAAGGAAAAAAACGCUUUGGAUGGUUAGGUCGUUGCCUUGUUGCUAGAUUUGUCCUCAACGACCUGACUGAAUGGCGACAGGAACGGUGACGGUGCCCCCCUCCUGGUAUCCCCAGCAGCUGGCGCGCUGAUGGCCACUGGUUUGGAACCGCCCAUGGGCGAUGCUGGUCAGCUGGUGGGAGGCCCUGAGCGUUGGGUGUGACCUGUCGAGCCGGCGCCGGGGGAGAGGGUUGGGCGGUUACCUACCGAGCUGGCGGCGGGGGUUGAAGCUACGAGGGGUGGGGCGUGCGCGCGACGGCGCGCCCAGGCGAGAGAGGAAGUGGACCUCCGCGCGGGGGUGGGGCUCCUAGAAGCUUCGCGGCACGACGCGAGAAGGCUGCGAGGUCUUGUGUGGAACCGUAGAUGCGCGAUCGGACGACUGAAUGUUUUCGGGCCGACAUGGAUAGGCUGAAAGGCUGAGUUUUGGACCGGCUUUAAUAUAAAGGAAAUAAGACUUAAGAAAUAAGUAGAUCAUAAUUCUAUCUUUUAGCCUAUUUUUUAUCUAAUUAAAGUAUGACUUGUUUUCACUAAUUUUGGCGAAAGUUGUUGUACAUUUUAUUUUGGCCAACGCAUAUUUUAUUAAAUUAGUUUAACAAAGCUUGUUAUUAGAAACUCGUAUGCCUCAUUUUUUAUCAUUCUGGCUAAUACCGAUUGAUGAAUAUUUGACUAUAACCUCAAGACAAAAGUACAAUCUAGCUAAGGAUAGGAAUUUGGAUUCUAAGUAAAUGAGUUAUCUACAUUACACCGUAAUAAGUACAGGGGAUUAUGUUCUUAAAGAACAUCAAAAUUAGUGGGAGCAAAAUCAUAACAGUUAAGUAUCAUAGCUUGUGACAUAAGUUAUUAAUAUACCUCUAAAAAGAUUAAGAUGCCCAAGAGAAAGUUAACUGGGCUAAUCAUAAGUCAUAACAAUUAAAGCCUAUCAUUUAGCCCAUUUUACCCCCAGUGUGAUUUCUAUUCUAUGCACAAUGUCUUAUACCCUAGGUUCCAACCAUAUUGUAUCGUGUCAAUUCUAGAAAUGUAAAAACAUCAAUGUAAAUUACAUAAAACUAUAAAAGUGAAGGAGAGAUGUAAGUGGAUAUCACAAUUUUUAGGAUCAAUUUAAUAUUUUAAAAUAGAUAUAUAUAAAAUUUGAUGUUGAUCUUUUUUAUAUUGUCAAGCACAUUAUAAUAACUAAGUUUAUUGUAUUAUAUUGAUCUUUUCUUAUGUUAUCUACAUAAAUUGUUUUAUACAUUAUUUGCUCCCUACAACAAAAAGGUGAAACCAUAUCUGAAUUUUAUAUAUAUCAUUUAAUAAGAUAUUUGAUAAAUUUGUGGUUUAACUUUUAUGAAUCUUUAUAAACUCAAUGCUAAAAACAAGAAUAAAAUUUUACUUAGCAGAUUAUAUCUCUUAUUUAUUCGUCAAUCGAAGAAAAAAGACCACAAAAUGAUAUCCUAAUAAAUAUCUAUCUUCAUCCUUAACCUUAAGAGAAGAGAUAGGAACACGACUGAAAGGACUAAGAUGUCCAAGAAAGAAGGGUGAAUUAGAUUAAUUUAAAAUUUCUCUCAGAAUCAUUAAAUCCUACCAAAUAGGUCACUGUUAGAGAGAAAACCAAACUAGACCUCGAUCAUAAACCCGGUCGACCUUUGGUGGACGUGGGGCAAGCAGGAUCGUGACAUUUAAUUUAAACAAGACCUAAUGUUGUACAUGUACAAUCACAAGGUUUUUGUAUAUGACAUUUCACUGUAAUUGAAUAUCCCUACUAUAGAAUGGGUGAUAACUCGUUCCUCGGUGCAUAAUCGAUCUGGUGCAAAUGUAAGACAAGUGCCAAACAAGAUUUCACUCAGAAUGGGUCAGUGGUGAGCUGAGCCAAGUCAAAGAGUUCACAUCGGCUAAGGAACGCACAAAUUGGAGCUUCCUGGACAUGCUUUGCUCUAGUAUCCAGACUUGACAGAAGACAUUUAGACAUAUCGUGAAUAAACAGAACAUCUGCCAAAGACAUAAUAAAACUUUUUGACUCCUGUCCGAUGUGUGGCUUUCCUAUUCUGUUCUAGUGGAUGAAUAUGUCGUAUUGUAUGGUUUAUUCUGCUCCAAACACAAUUUUCUAAACUUGAUAUAAGUUGUCACUAGAGAUGAAGCCUUCCGUAUAUGGAAUAUGCAACUUGUGUGUGAAUUUUCUAGACAAAUUGUGGCGUCGGAAAAGGCUUGCUUAAAAUAACAUGAACAGAGCAGUACAGUAGCCAAUUAAUCUGGAUAGUGUCACGAUAGUAAUAUUCUUGUUUCUUGAUAAGCAUACCUUAAUCAGAAUGCGAUCAUUCAGUGGUUUCAUAUCCUUCACAUCAUCACUGUCAAGAAUACCAAUUAUGUCAUCUUUCAAAAUGAGAUGGUCGGCGUCAUUGAAUUUCAAUUCUGUGCCUGCAUAUUUUGAGUACACAACUUGUGCACCAACCUGUACAAGAUUAUAAAUCGAUGUCAAGUUACUUAAUUGGCUUAGGACAGUACAAGUGUUACAACGGAAGAAAAAUGUUACUGGUGUCUGGUGACAAGGCCAUGAGGAAAAUUGUCUUCCAAAAUUAGAAGUUCAAACGUAGAAGAAGAUUGGAUACAGAAAAAAUCUCAGCAUACAAAACAUACAACUACUUUAUUUAUGGUAACCCGAAGACCACACCGAGCUCCUCCAAGGUGCCGGCCUCCAUACAUCUAUGUAUUUCUAAUGCAGCUCUCCGUUCAUUGUUUUUGCUGCUGCUCUGCAAUGGAUAGAUUGACAGCACUUGUCCAUGAUCGAUACACACGGUAGAUUUAUAUUUAAUUGUAUAAUACUGUAAUCAUAUUUUAGACCUAUCUAUCUUUAUUGUACAGCAAUUUCUAUUUAACAAACUCAAAAGACAUUACAAUUGUUGGCUAUGAGCUAUUAUCAGCUCAGGGGCAUUCAGGUCGUUUUACAGCUAUAAUCAGGAUAGCAAAAAACUCAGCUUAUUGAGGCAGCAGAUUCUCUGGACAGCAAAAUUAUCAGACAAGCCUGCUACCCAGAGAAUCGAGUUCCUAAAAAGCGACUACAAACAGGGCCUAACUCUAUCGUUCAUAAGCCUAUUGCUUAUCUUUCACUAAGUAGCCUGCAUGAUACAUUACUGUUCUGGUUGGAUAAAUAAGAUGCUCUCCCCGUAGUGAAAUUCUAAUGCUAACAAGAUUAAAGUGAAGAACUUGCAUACAUGCAGCAAUACGUGUGCAACCAGCAAAAAAUUAGAUAGGUGAUAGAUAAAAGCCAGCAACAAUAUUACCUAGCAGAGGUACAGGAAGGGCAUAGGACAGCCGGACCCUACUUUGGUCAAGUAAGCGCCCUCGGUUCCAAUGGCAUCCUCCCUCUCAUUGGUAUACAGAGAAAAUGACUCCACUCUCCUGGUGCUCAUGUCAAUGGUGACCAGCCACAUCUUUCUCACGUAUCCGAACUCGCUGAUGACAAACUAGCAGCAAAAUGCCAUAUGAGCAAUAAUGUUUAGAAACAUAAAUCACAACAAAAAUACCACCAUAGCAAAACUCCACUCUCCUGGUGCUCAUGUCAAUGGUGACCAGCCACAUCUUUCUCACGUAUCCGAACUCGCUGAUGACAAACUAGCAGCAAAAUGCCAUAUGAGCAAUAAUGUUUAGAAACAUAAAUCACAACAAAAAUACCACCAUAGCAAUGAUGUUAAGAAACAUAAAUCACACCACAAAUACCACCAUAAUCAGUCACAUGACCAUUGUCUAAUAAUGCUCAAAUUGCGGCUCUAGCAGCAAAAUGUCAUAUGAGUAAUGAUGUUCAGAAACAUAAUCUUUCAACAACUAGAGAAAUUAAACUAUUACAAUAAACGAGUUGAUGAUUAAACAGACAAUGGUAACAGUAGCAUAAAAGUUCACAGCUCUAUAGCUUAGCUUUCUUUAAAUGAUCAGACAUUUGGAAACUUAAAAAUAAUCUUUCAUAUGAACUUCAGUAUGUAUAACUAAACUGUAAAGCAUAUGCUGUAACUCUGACAAGAUAAGAGGAAAACAAAUAUGAGUUACAAGUUCUUAACCCCGUGCAUUUAGCUCUGGUUCUGAUGAUUCUGAUUCAGAUUCGAGUUCUGAUUUUGAAUCUGAUUCGGAUUUCAGAUCUAAUUUGGUUGAUUUUGAAUCUGAUUUGGGUUUAGGUUUGAGUUCUGAUUAGGGUUCUGAUUUUGAUUCUGAUGACCAAUAAACCAUGCUAAAGGCUCAAACCUAUGUGCAUCCCAAUUUCUCAAGAACUCGAGGAGUUUCAGGCAUUUAAUCAUCCUCAUUUGAUCUGCGGUAAGAACCACCUGACCAGCUACUGGAUGCAAUUCCAAAUCCUGAAGUGCCUUUUCUGACUUUUAUUGAAGCAUGUCUGUUUAUUUGAGUCUUCUUUGUGAUGACCAUAGACUGUGGUGUGGUUAUAGAUGAGCGUUCUUUCAAGCAACACAUUUUACUAACUUUGUGUUUUCAGGAAAUGUUCUCAACAACUGAUCCAUUCAUCUGCAAAAUGAUAACUGUGUUCUACCAUCAUUAACAAUAAUUUUGUUAAGAAUAUACUAUAUCUUAGCUGGAGGUGCACCAGAGUAGAUAUCAUUUUUAAUAAUAGUAUGACCAGACACAUAAUUACUCUUAAUGCCCUCAGCAAGUUGUUCAGGAGUAAAAUUUCUAAGAAUUGUCACAUUCAUAAAUCUCACCUCACCUCACCGAGAGCUUACUUUGAUAUUGUUGGCACUGAAAUCAUAUUAGCAAACACCACGCUCUUUAUUUCCUCUUAUCCUCUCAAGCAUUGUCCUAACAGUUUGUUUACUAAUAUUUUUUGCAAUUUCAUAUGAAGAUACAAUAUCAGUCUCACCGGACAAAACUAUAAAAACUCCAUCCACAUCUGUCAUCCUAAAUUAACGAACCAACCCUCCUGAUUCUAUGAAAUUAUUAAGAAAAAUUGAAUCAUCAUAAUCUUUUUCAACUAGAGUGCCGUCAGGGAGCAGCAGCAUGUAGCGAGUGUAGGAGAUCCAAGGUAAAACUGGUUGCGAGACCGUUAACAAAAGAAAUUGUACGUCAGACAGAUGCAUACACAAAAAAGUUAUAAGAUACAAAGAUUAUUUUAUAUUGAGGGGAAGGGGACAGGAGCAGCCUGAAUCUCACACAGUCACCCUACGCCACAAAAAAACUCAACAAAUGUAUGCACAACAAGACAAAACAGAAACAAUCCCUUCUAAUCUUACCCUCUCUAAUUCACAGAAUCAGUAAAAGUACAUGCACAAGAAUGCUACUUUUGAUCAAUAUAAAUAGCUUCAAUGAUCAAAGGAUGAGCAUUUGUACAAAACUAGUUGAACAUCAUUGAACUUAUUGACCAGGAAUAAACUCAUUCAAUACUAUAGUUAUAUAAACUCCAAAUCAAAGUUUUGAAUACUACAAUUUGAGAAUACCAAAAUUUUAAUACAAAGUUUUUCAAGGAGCUUGCCAAACACCUUGUGGCUAUGAAUGCCAUAGUUUUUUCUAAUACCACAGUAUUACCUAAAAACUAUGAAAAACUUGGCUACUAAACAGGGCAUCAUAUACUUACCAUUAAGAGUAGCAGGAGCAGAAUGCGUUACAACACCAUGAGUCGGAUCCACGUCCAUCGGGGAACUAGGUCCCGGAUCCAUCAGCAGCAGGUUCUGAAUCUGUUGCAGCACCAGCUGUAAAAUAGAAAUACCCAAAAGAAAGGCUCAGAUCCCGAACAAAGGCUCAGAUCCUCUGCAAAAUAGAAAUACCCGGAUCCAUCAGCAGCAGGUUCUGAAUCUGUUACUGAUUUCAUAGAAUCAGGAGGAGUGAUGGUUAAUGAAUUUGGGAUGACAAAUGUGGAUAAAGUUUUAUUGUUUUACCCGGUGAGACUGAUGUUGUAGCUUCAUAUGAAAUUGCAACAAAUAUUAGUAAGCAGACUGUCAGGACAAUGCUUGGGGGAUAAGAGGAAAUAAGGAGCGUGAUGUUUGUUUAUUUAAUUUCAGUGUCAAACAAUAUCAUAGUAAGCUAUCUUGGAGAUGUGAGGUUUAAAGAUGUGACAAUUCUUAGAAAUCUUACCCCUAAAUAGCUUGCUGAGGGUAUUAGGAGUAAUUAUGUGUCUGCCCAUGCUGUUAUUAAAGAUGAUACCUUUUCUGGUGCACCUUCAAAUGAGAUACAUUAUCUUUUUAACAAAAUUCUUCCUGAUGAUGGUAGAGAAUUGUUUCACAUUCAUGCAUUUUUGCUGUUAGCAACCAAGUAUCAUAGUUUUUUAAGAAGUAUGAUAAUCUAAGGUGGUCUAUUAAAAAGGAUGAAAUGAGAACCAUCUUUAUGCAAUUUCCUGAAGCUUAUGUUGCCACAAUUACUACUUUGUAGAUAGAUGGAUCAGUUGUUGAGGACAUUUCCUGAAAGCACAAAGUUAGGACAAAUGUACUGAUUGAAAGAACACUCCUUUAUAACCACACCACAACCUAUGAUCAUCCCAAAGAAGACCCAAGUAAACAGACAUGCUUAAAUAAAAGUCAGAAAAGACACUUUAAGAUUUGAGAUUUGAUCCUGUAGCUGGUCAGGUGGUUCUUACCGCAGAGCAGAUGAGGAUGAUUAAAUGUCUGAAAUUUCUUGAAUUCUUGAGAAAUCGGCGUGCACAUAGGUUGGAACUUUUAGCAUGGUUUAUCGGUCAUAAGAAUCCAAAUCAGAACCAUAAUCAGAACUUAAACUAGAACCUAUAUCAGAUUAAAAAUCAAUUAUAUCAGAUCUGUAAUCCGAACCAGAUUCAAAAUCAGAACUCGAAUCUGAAUCAGAACUAGAGCUAUAAUGCACGGGGUUCAGAACUUGUAACUCAUGUUUGUUUUUCCUUUUAUCUUUUCAGAGUUGCAGUAUGUGCUUUACAGUUUAGGCAGACAUACUGAAGUUACUAUGAAGGAUUAUUUUUAGGUUUCCAAAUGUCUGAUCGUUUGGAGGGAGCUAAGCUAUAGAGCUAUGAACUUUUGUGCUACUGUUACCACUGCCUGUUUAAUCAUCAACUCGUCUAUUGUAAUAGUUCAGUUUCUAUAGUUGUUGAAAGAUUAUGUUUCUGAACAUCAUUGCCCAUAUGACAUUUUGCUGCUAGGGCUACAAUUUGAGCAUCGUUGGACAAUGGUCAUGUGACUGAUUAUGGUGGUAUUUGUGAUGUGAUUUAUGUUUCUUAACAUUAUUGUUAUGGUGAUAUUUGUGUUGUGAUUUAUGUUUCUGAACAUAAUUGCUCAUAUGCAUGUUGCUGCUAGUGCCGCAAUUUGAGCAUCAUUGGACAACGGUCAUGUGAUAAUGUUGGUAUUUGUGGUGUGAUUUAUGUUUUUGUACAAUCUCAUGAAUACUUAGCUUUGUCAGCAUGCAGAGAAUGUUUUCUGGAUUAGGGUACACUUGCUGUGCUGAUAGUUUCUUAGGUUUAUGUGCUCAUCUUCCUCAUCUGACAUGAAUAAUGUAUGGGUGUCGUGUUGCGGAGUACUAUGUGAAGCCAUCAACCUGAAAGCUUUCAUAAUUAUCCGCACGCAGGAGGACGCCCAACUAUGCCCAGAAAACAUUGCAGCUCAAAAUUGCUACACCCAUAUCAAAAUUGCAUGUACUCGUCUUUAUUUUUACUAUACUCCAGGUCUGACUGUAUGUUUUAUUCUUCCCACAGGUCUGUUCACAAAUUGCAGCUCAGCAUGCAGCCAAUUCUAACCUUGAUAAACUAUUUAUUACAAAAGUGAGUAGCUCUAUAGGUCCUGCUUAUGAGAUUUUUAUGGAUAUUGUUGAUUACACUCGUAAUGGCUGUUUCCAUUUGGCUUUUUUUUCAAAGUUCGUGAAGAAAUUGUUUCUUGUGCCUAGCAAACGCUUCAAAUGCAAGGAAAUGGUUAGAUCUUGAUCACACACUAUUUUUUGUUACUAAGUGACUACGAUUGUCAAGAAAAGCUAAAUUCAGCCUUUUUUAGACAUUUCACUCUGAUUGUAGUAUGAAACUCGUUCCUGUGAUGUAUAUAUAAGAAGCAGAAACAAGUAAUGCUCCUCCAUUACUGUAAUUUAGACUGCAUGUGAUGUAUAUAUAAGAAGCAGAAACAAGUAAUGCUCCUCCAUUACUGUAAUUUAGACUGCAUGGCAUUCUGCAAAGAAAAGCGUUAGAUAGAAGGACACAAUUCACCUCCAAUUACCGGAAUCAAUGUCAGACAUCCACAAUGUGUUCCAUGUAUUCCAGCUCCAAAAACGCAUAUAAGUGCUAGAAACCCAUAUCAUAGAAUAGCCAAUCCAGAAGAUCUGCAGUCUCGAGAAAAACGACUGAAAAUCUUGGACCUAGCCGUUCACAAAACCCGGAACUUAGAGGUAAGGGUCUAUAAUGUUUAGUGGGGCUAAGAAGGUGAAGAAGAAGCAACCUAGGAAAGUGAGGACUCAAUGAGGAAGGAAUACUCUUAUCUUUUCUCAGACCCAUCCUGAAUCUCGAGGGAAAGAUUCUUUUAAGUGGGUAAGUUUGUAACAUCCCGAUUCUCAAAAAAGAGGUUAGUAGAAGAAACCUUAAUUGCAUAAUCCCAAAACUCUAACAUCAUCACAUCUAUCUUUGGAAAACCUAUAUUCAUGCAUGGAUGAUGAUUGUUAGAAACAUUGCGCAUAACUAUUUUCACGUUACUAGCAAAUGGUAGGGAUUUAUUUUACACCUAGGAAAAUAUACACAAGAGAGAGAGAAGAAAGGAAAUAGAAAAAAGGAAAUAGAAUUCUGCUCGGAGGCCCAAUGCCCCCUCCUCGCGCCCGUGUCCUCCCCCUGGCCCAUCUCCGACCCACCCCUCGCCCUCUCCCUCUCCGCCAACCCGGCCCCGCUUGUCAGCACCAUCGUCUCCCUCCUCCUCAGGAACUCAAAGUGCUCGCACCCUUGCCAUCGAUCGCCAUCCUCCUCCCCCUUGCUGAUAGACACAGUUGAGCUGGGCACCGUUUUUUCCCUCGCCCGCUGUGCGCAUGUACCUACACGCCACCAUCGUCCUUCACCGUCAUGGCAUCACAUCGCCACCCAUGUGCGCCACCCUUUUUCACUUCCUGCCGGCAUCCAGCUGGCAACCAAGCUCCCUCCCCGACCGCCUAUAAAAGGACCGCCCAAAGCCCCUAUUCACCUCGCACCACUCACCAUCCCUCCUCCCUGAGCUCAAUCUGUGCCCACGCGGCCACCCUCCCCCAACUUUGGUGAGAUCUCCAUAUCCUCCUCCAGCCGUCCAGAGCUCAAUCAAGCUAGCGCACAAGCUUCACUGCUUCCUCAUGACCACAAUGCACCUCUCCUCACCCCCAAUCAACCACCACCACCUCGUCAGCAGCAUUACCAUCACGGUGACCCUCCACCCCACCGUGGCUGGCCCUCCCUAGCUUGCCUCCGGCCAAAUUGAGUCUGGCCCCAUGAUCACCCACCUCUCCUUGUGCUAGCACACCUCCCCAUUGCCCGGGAACCAGAGCAACGACGGAGAACCGUCAUGAACCUCACCGGCGGCCGGUUCGCCCUCCCCCCAUCAAUAACUGCUAAGCGCCGUUUCCCUCCCCCUCCUUCUAACACGUGGGCCUAGCCCCUUCACGCAAUCGCCCAUUGUUCCCUUCCCCGUGGGCAAGCUAGGCCUUGUGCUCGCACCGCACCUCGCCCAGCUGGCCCGAAUUGCUCCCGCCAGGCCCACUAGCCAAGAAACUCCUUUUCUUUUUCUAAUUUCUAUUUUCUCUAUAUACAUAUGUAUGUAUAUAUGUAUUUUUGGCACAAAUACACAAAUAGUAGUAAAAGCACAUUAGAGGUCGCAUAAAAUAAUGAUCACAAUAUUAUAACACACCUUUUCAUAGCAAGUCUUUGGUUGAUGUAUUGUUUGUUGAUUGUUUUCCUAGAAGAAGCAGUGAUCGACGUCCUAGAAACCCUAGCUCCGGAAGAAGGGUAGGAGCUCGACCUCCCAGAAAUAGAACCUUCGUGUCAUGAGAACUUCGAAGAAGGCAAGUUCAUUCUACCCUUGAUGCAUAAAUUACCUAUGCUUUCUACCAUCACCUAAGCCGGAUCAUGGGAAUGGAUUCAUGCAUAUGUGAGACGAGGUUAAGCCUGCAUUAAAUUCACAUUUGGUCUCAAGGAAAACUAUGGGAUAUUGGUGGUGUUUUCAAAAGAAAAUGUUUAGUACAAGAAAGAUGAGUCCCAUUCUUAAACUUUGCAUAAAUGUAAUUAUCCUUUAUAUUUUUUCUUAAACCCAAAAUUAUUAGUUGUCUUAUCAUGGAUUUCUUCAUACGAUAUUCUAGUUUUUCUUUGCCCUCCAUGACAAAACAUUUGGUUUGUGCCAUGUAAGACAAGUGCCAAACACUACAAAUAAGUGAAAUGUCAACCGUAGAUGAUGCUUGUCAAGGAGCAAAAACAAGUGCGAGGGUGCGGUCAGUUCACACGUCGAAGGGAGGAGGGUGGCUGGUCGUCCAUGGUGGGGUCGCCCUCUCGUAUGCGUUGGACGAUGAUUUCAUUCUGAACCGACCACCUAGUAAAUUCAGCGUUCAAGGUUAUGCAAUAUCCAAUCAACAGAAUGGAACAUAUCAUGCUGGUAGCACUCAUAAAUAUUAAAUAUUAAAAAAACCCAUAUCAAUACAUGCAGUUGAACACAAGCUUCGCUUUUAGAGCGAAACCAACUGUAUUCUUAUGGUCCAUGUUAGCCCCACACAGUAACAAGUGUGGAUGAAAAUAACAGGUCAAUAAGAGAUUAUGAAAUGUAAUUUUUUGUAUAGUUACCUCUUGAUGUGGCAGGUGUGUUCGUACUAUUUUUACAAUGGUUUUUGACUCAGGACAACUAAAAAAUGCAUUAGGAUUGAGGGAGUAUAUAUACAAUAAAAUAGCAACUUGCUAGACUAAAGCAAGGUCUACAUUUGAUGCUUGUCAAGUGCCAAAUCAGGCCAAAUCUUCGGCUUGUUCCUUCUUACAGCCGAUUCAAAAGAAACGACAAGAGGAGGUUAAAUUUACAUUUAAUGUUGUCAAAUGUGACAAGAUAUUCGAUGAAUUACUAAAAAAUGGGAACAUUAAAAUAAAUCAUAUUGUUCCAUCCGCCGACGAACUAAAGUGUCGUGCAUACUGCAAGUGGCACAACUCGUUUUCUCAUGCCACUAAUGAUUGUAAUGUAUUUCGACGACAGAUCCAAUCGGCCAUUAAUGAAAGACGGUUGAAAUUUUAGGAAAUGCAAGUGGAUAUGGAGCCCUUCCCAAUGAAUGUGAUCGACUUCGAAGGCAAAAAAUUCCUGAUUCGGCCCAGCACAGCCGAUAAGGGCAAAGGCAAAUAAGUCAUCAUCGGCGACGCACGAAAAGUCGUUGAAAAUAAUAAAAUCUCCUGCAGGAAAGUGGUGGCGGAAAAGACUCCUAAUGGAGGGGAGACUUUGAAAGUUACCAUCACCACCUCCAACGAUAGGGACACGCGCAAGCAAGGGACCAGGCGUGUGCACCUAUUUUGCGCAUCGCGGACGGUCCGACACAUAGACGCGGAUGGUCCGGCACACCGCCGGAAACUCCAGACCAUUCCAGUGGACGGUUCGGCAACGCCCAAGAACCACGACGACCACGUAUCUUCAAACCGCGACGACCAGAAAUAGGUACGUGGAAAACUAACAUGGUAAAGGCAGCUGGCCGAUUGGUAAGAUUUGGCCCGACCUUUAACCAAUUAUUGUCUAAAUAUGUAAAAAAGAAGGUUGGCCCAAAUGACCGGCCAGCAAAGCGACCUCGCUCACCCACUCAAGAGCGACAGCAGGUUAGACCGAUUGGACCACCUCACCAAUCGGAAAGAAUGACGGGUCAUAAUGUCCAAUUACGACCCAACAUACCUGCAUGGACACCUCCACCCCCAUAUCCACCUGUGCCAUAUCAGUAUACAUACAUGCCACCGCCAUAUGUCCCGAAUCAAAUGUGGGGUAUGCCACCAUAUCCAUUUGGGAUGCCACAGUACCCCGCUUGGGGGGCACCCUAUGGUGGACAGAUAUCCCCCGGGUCCACUAGAAGGUAAGAAGGCCUCGCGAGAGGCUUUAGGCCUCGCUAGACCAUCUCUUCGUGGGCCAGGAGAAAACUGCUGGCGGAAUGGGCCGACACGAGAAAGAAGCAGACUUAGGCCCAAGCGACUCGCGGGACUUAAGCGCUAUCCACAGCGCCCACCCGACUUUCCCACGUGCGGCGACCUUGAAUGUCAGAGCGAAUUAGGGAUAAGUUGGCAAGAUUAUAGGAAGAUCAGUUCAGUCGGUUCACUAUUGUUUAGGAACAUACCAUCAUCACAUACGCACGUAGUGCCCCACGGUUGAAUAUAUAAGGCCUAGGGGGUACCCCAUCAUUUCCAGGUCAAUCACCAACCCAUCUCACUAGUUUCUCUCCAUUCCGGAGAUUCCUCUUGUAACCCACCACAUAAAGAUCCUCACCAGGAAGUAGGGUAUUACGCCUCUCCAAGCGGCCCGAACCUGUAGAAAGUCGCCUGUCGUCUCUCGUGCAUCUCGCAAGAACCAUUGAGUUACAGUUAACAACACUGUCCUACCCAAACGCACCGCGAGGGGUAACCCUGGGUGUGCGGUUGGGCUCCAAACACCGACAGCUGGCACGUCAGGUAGGGGGUGUGUCGUUGAUCCAAGCUAGCUCAAUGGCCGUUACCUCCCAGUGCAAGAUCGCUCUUCGCCCUGGAUCCGUAUUCUGCUUCGGGACUAUCUUAUCCGUGGCAGAUGAGAAGGGAAUUCUGCACCGCAUAGCAGAUCCACCGGAGAAGAAACUUUUCUUGGAAAUCCCCAGGAAAGCCGGAACAAGACAACGGACAGCGCAACCUCGUGCGCCCCAGACGAAGACUACUUUUUGCAAGCCGAGAACUGGGAAUUUACUUGCCCGAAGAACUCCGCUGCCCACUUCGCCCACAAAGAAGUGGACGCGGAUUACAAGGAAGAGAGAAGCAAAUGUCCCUAAAAAAGGAACGGAGCUCCGUCGAGCUAUCUUUCCGGCACCUUCGCCCUCAAAGAAGGACGAAAAGGAACUCGCCACCACAGUAACUCCUUUCUACCCCGACGUCCUCUUUAUUAGGGGAAGAUUGGAAUCAUCUCCCAUCUCCGACGACGAGCCAACCGUCCCAGGGGAAGAACCUCCCCAGCGAGAAGCUCGACGACGAAGGAACAUACGCCGGAAUAUUCGGCGACAUCACGAAGCUGGUGAGCGGGACCCAGCGCAGCCCGUAUCUCGGGAUGAAGUCUCGGAAGUGGGGGAAACUCCCGACGAGCGGGUAUUUAGAGAAAGGAAGAAUUCUCGCCGACGUGACCGCCGGCAAGCUCAAGACCGAGAUCGAGAACAAGCUGAACAAGGCGCAAGGUUACGCCGAGAGAACCCUCUCUUCGCUCGAAACCUGAACCCUGACUUUGCUCGCGCAAUGAACACGCCGAGCGAAGUCAGAGGAGUGCUGGCUCAGAUAGCUGAUGGCCUCCUGCAGACUCCGGAUGCUGAAGGCUAUCGGCGGCUGCUUACUCGGGCAGCUAAUCAUCUUCUACCCAUCGCUCAUCCCCCGAGCGACCUGCGACACACCAUCAAGAGACGUGCGGAGCUCCAUCAAUGCUUCGCGCGACCGACGACACGAAAACGAGAUAAGGCGCCAGGAGGAGAAUGAUCGGGACCAUGGUGUUCUGGCUCGAAGUCACGCCACCCUAGUUGAGUCGGCUACAACCUCAACCAGUGGCCCGAUCCGGGGACGGUCGAGACGACACAUCACCGACUCCCCUCCCCGGGACCGACACCAUGAACGUCGACAGGAAGACACAUGUGGAGUAUCCGCGCUUACUCCCCGUCUCAGGGCCAUCCACCCCAAACUUCAAGGUCUCCAACGUCGACAAGUACAAGCCUAAGCAGGACCCGGGAGACUGGUUGGCCGUCUAUACGACCACUGCCCGGGCUGCUGGGGCAACCGAAGACGUGAUGACCGCAUAUUUGCCCAUCGUCCUCGAGCAAGAUGCAUUGCAGUGGCUACGACAUCUGCCACGACACUGCAUCGACGAUUGGAGUGACUUCAGUCGGUGUUUCAUCGCCAACUUCUAGUCCCCCUCCGACAAGCCGGCGCAGCCAUGAGACCUCAAAUCCAUCAGGCGCCGGGGCGAUGAAACACUUCGGUCGUACCUCAAAAGGUUUCAGACCAUGAGAAAUCGUAUCCUCGAGGUCACUGAGGCAACAAUGAUUGAGGACUUCUACCGGGGAUCUAAUGACUCAGCCUUCGUCCGAGCCAUACUGCAGAAAGCGCUGACCACCUCCGAACAUCUGUUUCGAGAUGCGGACCUCUACAUCACCGCUGACGAGCGGGCCUAGGACCUCAUCGGAGGAACGAAACCUGCACCACCGGCACCCGGCGCGACGCGAACCAGCAACCUGACAGACGUUGGGAGAAGAGGCCUCGUGAGGAGGUUCACGCCGCCGGACCACCCGUCGCUCGUGCCCGAGGGGCGCCUCGUGGAGGCGAGCGAACACUGGACGACAUCCUCGACGCCCAGUGCCCGUACCACAAGGACAUGUGCCACACCUUACGGAACUGCAGGGACUUCAAGCACUCCGUUGGGAAUGGCCGACCGUUCCAGCCUCUACCACCUCCCCCACCACAAGGAGGGCCUGGUGAGCCCAGGUAGCCUCAGCAACCAGAAGGGGAGGGGGUGGAGCAUUCCCACGCAUUGACAGAGAGGUUAACGUCAUUUUCGGAGGCCACGGAUCGCAAGAGAACAGAAGGCAACAAAAGCUCAAUGACCGGCAGGUCCUGGUGGCAACCAUUAGUGCCCCAGCUCCUUAUCGGUGGUCAGAGCACGCGAUAACCUUCAGCCGGGCAAAUCAGUGGCUCAACUUCGACCACCCCGGCAAGUACCCGCUCCUCGUCGAUCCGGUGAUCCGUGAGAACAGGGUAAAGAAAGUACUAGUGGACGGGGGAAGUAGCAUUAACGUUACCUUCCCCCGGACACUCCUAACCUUGGGGGUUGCACUCAAAGACCUCAUCGAGUCAGAUACCCCCUUCUUCGUCAUCGUGCCGACCGAGGGAGAUUAUCCACUCGGACACAUCUACAUGUCCGUCACCUUUCGGACUCCGGAGAACUUCAGAACUGAGUUCCUGAGGUUCGAGGUGGCACGUUUCGACUGCGGAUACAACGCCAUCAUCGGCAGGCCGGGACUGGCGAAAUUCAUGGCCAUUCCGCACUACUCGUACAUGAUAUUAAAGAUGCCGAGACCACAAGGAAUCAUCACCGUGCGUGCUGACUUCCAAUGCGCCACGAAAUGCUUUCGGGGAGCCAUCCAGACAGCCCUCACUGCUGGACCAUCGACGACUUCCUCCACGCAGGCGGACACAAAGCCUGAGGAAGACCUCACAAUACCCGCAAACGAAGAUCAAGCCGUGACCUCCAUACGGCCGAUUGAGGAGACUAAAAAAAUCAACCUAGGAUUCUCCGAUGAGCGUAAGACUGCCAUCAUCAGUUCCAGCCUUGACGACAAAUAGGAAAGUGUGCUCGUUCGGUUCCUGCAAGACAACCGAGACGUAUUCGCAUGGCAACCAACGGAUAUGCCGGGAGUCCCGAGAGAACUAGCCGAGCACAAAUUGAAGGUCUAUCCUGAAGCAAUGCCGAUUCAACAGAAACUGCGUCGUUUCACGCCUGUCAAGAGAGAAGCUAUUCGCGCCGAGUUAGCUCGCUUAGUGGCUGCAGGAUUCAUUAGAGAAGUGCUGGAUCCUGAGUGGCUAGCAAAUCCUAUUCUUGUACUCAAAAAGAAUAAAGUGGAUUGACGCAUGUGCGUCGACUAUACUGAUCUCAACAAGCAUUGUCCGAAGGAGCCCUUCGAGCUCCCUAGAAUAGAUCAGGUGGUUGAUUCAACCGCUGGCUGUUCUAUGUUGUCCUUCCUAGACUGUUAUUCUGGAUAUCAUCAGAUCAGCAUGGCAAAAGAUGAGGAGAAAACAACAUUCAUCACCCCAUUUGGAGCUUUCUGCUAUACCUCCAUGCCGUUCGGCCUUAAGAACGUAGGAGCGACCUACCAGAGAGCCAUUCAAACAUGCUUAGCCGACCACUGGAGCAAGCGAGUGGAAACCUAUGUUGAUGAUGUGGUGAUCAAAACAAAAAACUCAGAAAACUUCAUUGAAGAUUUGCAGCUGGUCUUCAACAGCUUGAGGCGAUACCUGUGGAAGCUCAAUCCAGAAAAGUGUGUUUUCGGAGUAUCGGCAGGGAAGUUACUCGGAUUCAUUGUCAGUCACCGAGAAAUUGAAGCUAACCUAGAAAAAAUCGAGGCCAUCAUGAGAAUGGAAGCGCCACGAUCACAGAAAAAGGUACAUAGGCUUACUGGAUGCAUGGCAGCCCUGAGCAGGUUGAUAUCAAGGCUAGGGGAGAAAUGCAUGCCAUUCUAUAAAUUGCUCAAAAAGGUGGACAAGUUUCAGUGGACCACAGAGGCACAUGAAGCUCUAGAGGCACUGAAAAAGUUCCUGACUACACCAGUACUCAAGCCACCACGCCGAAUCAGCCAGCAGAAGAUCUGUUGUUAUACAUCUCCUGCACAACUCACGUGGUGAGCACCGCGUUAGUAGUCGAGCGGGUGGAGGAAGGACAUACAUACCCGGUGCAGCAUCUGGUCUACUUCAUCAGCGAAGUUCUCGGGCCCUUAAAAAAUGAAGUAUCCCCAAGUCCAGAAACUGCUAUACGUGGUACUUCUAACCGCUCGCAAGCUCCGUCACUACUUUGACGACCACAAAGUCAUAGUAGGAUUUCCAAUAGGGGACAUUCUUCACAACAAAGAAGCUAUCGGAAGGAUAGCCAAGUGGGCGUGCGAGCUGGGAGCUCACGACAUAGAGUUCCGGCCCCGCACGGCUAUCAAGACUCAGGCACUGGUUGACUUCGUAUCUGAGUGUACUGAACACCAGGUCCUAGACAACCUGGAGACUACCGAAGUAUGGAGAAUGUACUUUGAUGACUCGCUGAAGUUGCAAGGAGCAGGUGCAAGGAUUCUCUUUAUUGCUCCUGGAGGUGAACAACUCAAGUAUGCACUCCAACUAUUGUUUCCGGCAUCAAAUAAUGCAGCAGAAUAUGAAGCACUGAUCCACGGAUUAAACAUCGCCGUAUCACUCAGCAUCAAGAAGCUGAUGGUAUAUGGAGAUUCGCUAGUGGUCAUAAGCCAGAUUAACAAAGAUUGUGAUUGCUCGACUGAUUCCAUGAGUAAGUACCGUGCAGCCGUCCGAAAAUCGGAGUACAAGUUCGAAGGAUUGGAGUUCCAUCACGUGGAAAGAGACCGCAACGCAACAGCAGACGCGUUGUCAAAGCUAUGAUCCAGUCGGGCCCAGGCUCCACCCGGGAUCUUCGUACAAAAAAUAUCACAACCAAGUAUCCUCUCAUUGAGCCAACCUGAGUCGGACCCCAAUGACUGGAGAGAGCCUAUCAUCAGGUACAUAGAAAAUGAAGAAGAACCGGAUGACAAGGCGGCAGCGGAACGCAUCGCAAGGCAAUCAGCCCACUACACCCUCAUAGGGGGCAUACUGUACAGAAGAGGUGCGACAGGAGUCCUCAUGAAGUGCAUUCACUCGGCUAUUGGGAAGCAACUGUUAGACGAAAUCCAUGUCGGGCAGUGCGAAGCACAUGCAGCGUCCAGAACUCUGGUCGGGAAGGCUUUCAGAUUUGGUUUCUAUUGGCCAACAACGAAGAGUGAUGCUGCUGAGUUAGUCCAUAGAUGUGAAGCUUGACAAUUCUUAUCAAAGAAACAACAUUUAUCCGCACAGCAGCUACAGACCAUUCCUGUAACAUGGCCAUUUGCAUACUGAGGCUGGACAUGAUAUGACCUUUCAAGAAAGCUCAGUGAGGCUAUACUCACGUACUGGUUGCCAUUGACAAAUUCACGUACUGGUUGCCAUUGACAAGUUCAUGUACUGCUUGUCUUAUAGACUUUUGUAAGAGCAUUUCUUGUAAGAAAAAAAAUCAUGUAGCUCGUUGUUUUAUCGUUAUUUAUGUCUCAAUAGCUCCUUCUGAUAUCUUGUAAAUAUCUGAUGAGUGCAUUGUUUUCCGUUAAGUUCCAAUGGUAAAAGGUCAUCCAAUAUUUAACUUAUAACUAUCUUUUGAAGUUACUCCAUUCUAAAUUAUAAGCGGUUUUAGCUCAAGAGACAUAGUAUAUCUAGGUGUAUAGAAAAAACUAUGUACCUAGAAAACCAAGAGGACUUAUAAUUCAGAGUACAAUUUACAAUAGCAUACAUGGCAAGCUUAUAUGAAAAGCAAAAUUAAAAUCAACAUUCUUCUUAAUACAUAAACAAUCGCAUCUAGCAGCUUAAAGUUUAGCUGUUAGGUCUUGCAAUUCAACCAACGAUAUCCAUUUCUUAUCACUCGGUUUAGUUAUCCUCACUGUAUUUAAAGUCUUAUGGCACUUUCAGUGUUCUUUAUUAAAUCAUCUGGUUUACUGACUCUGAGUUAUCCUGAAGUUUGGACAAAAAUCUCACCCUACACUUGGUGUUUCUGAUUUGUCCCUUUGCACACUUAGCUCAAGAUUGAUCGGAAGAUUCUCUGUAUUCCGAGUACUGUGUCUAACAGUAGUACUUGUUUGCUCAUUAUUUACUCCUUGUCCAUACACCUGAAAAUGAAAAAGAAACGAUGUUUUGUGAUUCACAUACACUAGACAUGUGGAAUAAAACAAAACAAAAUUAAAGAUGAGUUCUACUAAUUGCAUCCUAUUUCGUCUAACUAUUUCUAGAUGCAUGUACCUUUCUCCGUAAUUCAGUGUUAUGUUGAUGAAGAAGGUUAACUUUGUUGUAUAGUUCCAUGCUUUCCUGGUGCAUGAGGCUUCCCUAUAAUUCAAACAAGAAGUUUUUGUAGUGAAGCGAGACCGUAAAAUAUGUUAUUAAUUGUGAAUAAGUCGUGUAGACAAACCUUCCUGUUUAAUUCUUGAAUCUGAUAAAAAAUAAGUUGGUCCUGCAAAUUGGCAGUUAUUAAACAAAGUAGCAACUGGUAUCUAUAUAUGUUGUUAAAUAUGUGAUGGAGUCUGAAGAAUCUGCAAUGAAACCUUUUUCAGACGAAUAUUUCUUAGGCUCGUCUCCAGCUUAUUCUCUAAAUUCUGCAAAUCUCCCACGUUCAGGCCAGAAAGCUGCUGACCCAACAACUGCCUGCAGUGGAAAAUUGCAUAGAACAUUAGCUUAUGCAUUUCUGAGAAUGCAAAUGUUAUUGUACAAUGUACAAACCAAUUUCACAUGUAAGAGAGAACAUUAAAAUAAAGUACCAUUUUUUGUAGCCAUCAAGUGUACAGUUGAAUUAAUCAACGAAUAACAUAACUUCCUUUGUGUGUGGAGUAAGGACACACUCUUAAUCAAAUAGAAUAAUAAUGAAGCAGAUCGUUGCUUAUUGCUGUUUCUGAAAGUUUUAGACUCAUACUGUAUAAGGUUUAACUUUGAUUUGGAGACUUCAAAUUUCCUGUGCGUAAACAUUAAUGGAUAUACACCAGAACAUAUAACCAAAUGCAUCUUGCAUUUCAUCAUCAUGUGCUGAGAAUUUGUUCUGAAUUCUUUUUUAUAUUUAUAUAUUUAGGACCUUGUUCCCUUUGAUUCUAUCUCUGAGCAUGAAAAAAUAAUUGCAGUAGACACAUCCUUUUUCUCGUAAUGAUUUGAAAUAUUUAUUGUACGUUAGUUGAGGGUCAUACCGAUGGUGCUCUUCUAAGUUAUGCAGUUGCUGCCUCAAGCUUUCUGCCUCGCUUUGCCAGAGCUAGUAAGAUUGGAAAAGCUUUCAAUUAAUUAACAUAAAUGAGAGUGACUGGACAACCAUAUGAUCUCUACUUUAGCAUAGGGACUACAACUACAACGAAAAGAACAAAACCUUUCGCUUCAAAGGAAGCUGGUAAAGUUACUUUGAGUUUGUUAAACCGCAAAUAUAUGUAACUUCUGGAAACCUGAGUAGGGUCCUGCUAGCUUGGGUCUUUUUUUUUGCCAUGCAACUCUCAAAAGUAGUAUAGAGGCCAUGCUGGAGAUGUUCUAACACAAAUAAGUUCUGAGUUUGUUACUGUAUUCUCAUCUUCGUUUACUUAUCAAAAUAUGUUUACUCGCAAGAUAACUUGAUCUAAACUUUCAUUCUUUCUUUAAACAUGUUUAUGUACCAUUUUUAUGUAAGUUUUGUUCACUUUUGUAUUCUUUUCCUACAUAUGUAGCCAUGAAAAAGUAAUGUUACCAUCUAGCAUACAAAAUUUUCCCCGUUUUCUGUGCUUUUUUCUGUGAAAUCUGUAAAAUCCUUAUAUAAUUCCUAUGAAAUUCCUGCAUUCCAUAGGGGCCUCAAAAUGUUAUAUGUAGAAUAGGAAUUGGUACACCUACUAUUUGUGUUGUACAUCUUAAGUAACUGUUGUUAGCAUAGUCGAGAAUAGUUGGUCUAAAAUACAUUUAGUCCAUGUUUGUUUGGGCUUCCCAGAGACUUUGGACCUUUUAAAAUCCAAAGAACUCCGACAAACAAAAAAAAUCAGAGGCUCACUAUACUAAGAGACGUUUAGAUUUUGAAAAGUCUAAAAGCUAAUAGUGGGAAAAGGCCCAAGCAAACAAGGCACCAGAUAUAUCAUUCUAAGUUAUAAAUAUUUUGCAUCUAUAAAAAAUAAUUUUCUUGGUGGUUUUGUAAAGUCACAUCAUCUUGUACUAUUGUGAAAAAAAUAUGAAAAGUUUACAUUGGUUGGUGCUUGUGGGUUACCGUUUGUUUCACUUAAAUCUGACUCGCUUAGAACCACCUUCGAAGGUUUGGCUACUGACGAGGGCGAGGAGGAUCAUGAUUUGGAUGUCUCGUUGGUGAAAAAUCGGAGCUGUCUCGAGGCUUGGCAACAAAUGCGCAUCGCGGUCUUCCUCCUAUUUGUAGUCGUCGUCGAGUUUCCUUUGAUCUUGUGAUGCCCGUCUUAGAGAGUUGGAGUUGCUCGUCUGUUGUGUUGAGCUCGGCAACGAUGACUCAGCAUGAGUAUUGUGUGUGGGGUUGCUGUUAUCUGAGUUGGCACCCUGUGUAGGUUUUAGAACUGGUUUUCCUUAAAACUGGAUCAAUUUCUUUAUUCUUAAUUAAGAGAUUGUCAUUACGUUUUUUUAAAAAAGAACCACCUUCCCGUCCACGUUGUGGUUGAGAUGAUCAGAACCUGGAGCCAACAAUGUGUGUCCAACACAAGUUCUUGAGGAUGGAAGGUAAUUAGUACAUGAAAUGUUUGUUUCGAUCAGUUUUGUGAUUUCUAUAUUUGAGGUCAACAUAGUCUGAAUAUAGCAGCAGGUGAUGCUUCAUAUAGCGGCUACGUUAUAUAGCGUUGGAGUCAUUUGCCGUUAUUACAAAUUACGAUGAUGUGCAUGGCCCCUGUUGCUUAAAUCCCUAGAUGAGAAUCUAAAGGUAGGACAUGCAUGAUGCCAGUCAAAUUCCAUGCGUCUUUGGCUUGGUCUAUGGCUUUAUGCUCACACUAUAAAUGGUGAUAGGUCACCAUACACACCUAUAACUCUUAUAUAGAUAAUUAAUUUAC